CCUACGGGUGGCAGCAGUGGGGGAUAUUGCACAAUGGGGGAAACCCUGAUGCAGCGACGCCGCGUGAGUGAAGAAGUAUUUCGGUAUGUAAAGCUCUAUCAGCAGGGAAGAAAAUGACAGUACCUGACCAAGAAGCCCCGGCUAACUACGUGCCAGCAGCCGCCGUAAUUAGUCGGGGGACAGCGUUCUCCGGAUUUGCUGGGGGUAAAGGGAGCGUAGACGGGUAUGUAAGUCUGGAGUGAAAGCCCGGGGGCCAACCCCGGGCCUGCUUUGGAAACUGUGGUACUGGAGUACAGGAGGGGCAGGCGGAAUUCCUGGUGUAGCGGUGAAAUGCGUAGAUAUCAGGAGGAACACCGGCGGCGAAGGCGGCCUGCUGGACUGAAACUGACGUUGAGGCUCGAAAGCGUGGGGAGCAAACAGGAUUAGAUACCCUGGUAGUC
rnacentral:rRNA from 1 species